GAUUGGGGUAGAGUAGACGCUGGAGAGGGCACAAACUAGAGGAGCUGAACAUGUUAACUCAUGUGCUGGGAAGAUGGUCUCAGUCCAGCUCCACCAUGCCACCCCACCCCCUCCCCACCCCAUUCCAGCUCUUCAUUUUAGUUCACACUUCACCGUAAGGAUGCUUGGAUUUGGCCAAUUCUAUCCAUGGUUCAGGUCACUUCCUGACAGUAGCUGUAGGAGUGGACCUUGUUUUCCCUAGUCCCUUCCCUCAGGCCCCUUCCCUCAGGCCCCUUCCCUAAGGCCCACGGUGUUGUUGAAAAGGAGACAGCAGUCAGUGAAUCUCGUGUCAAGCUUUAUUUGGCAGGUGGCUUUGCUCAGUACUCAGAUCUCGUGGCUCCUUGGCAGCUCAGGGCUCAGACAUCGACAUGGAAUGGUGGUGUGGCCUCACAUGAUGUUGCUUGGGCAGCAGGCAGACAGAAGACUGGCAUCCUCAGGCAGCUUGGAGGAUGCUCCCCACAGUUCCAACAAGGCCACACCCUGGCCAAACAUUGAAACCACCAUACCCAGCUUCUCCAAGAGACUCAGGCUCCUGUUUUUCAUCGGACGGUGGCAUUUUUCAAGAUGUGGCGAGAUGCUCUUGAAGUCUGGUAAAAUUCUCACGCAGGAGUUUUGAUGGACUUGCUAUUCUGUGCAUCUAGUAUUUUUUACACCUUAUGGUGUAUGAGCGGCGGCGACGGCAGCAUCCUAGAAAGCAUCGCCUCCUCCGUCUGCGACAUCUUCGCCUGCGACGGCGGCAUCUGCUCCUGCUUUUGCUGCGGCAGCAUCGGUAUCUGGCCAUGGUGCUGGCUUGGCCGGGAGCUGGCUCAGAGCAGGGGACACCACCUGGGUCGAGCCAGCCAACCUGUGAGCAGGCACCUUCUUGACAGCUGCUUCUUGGUGUUUCUGAAGUGUCUAAAGAUGCAGAGGGGACUGCGAAGCGGGAGUGAGUAGAUAUGUGCGGAUGUGAAAAGUGCCCAGUAUGGAGAAGGCCUCAAACAAACAGCACCUUUCCCAUCAAAAAAAAAAAAAAAAAAAAAAAAAAAAAAAA
rnacentral:misc_RNA from 1 species